rnacentral:rRNA from 1 species
CCUACGGGCGGCAGCAGUGAGGAAUAUUGGUCAAUGGGCUUACGCCUGAACCAGCCAAGUCGCGUGAGGGAAGACUGCCCUAUGGGUUGUAAACCUCUUUUGUCAGGGAGCAACGCCGGCUACGUGUAGCCGGACUGAGAGUACCUGAAGAAAAAGCAUCGGCUAACUCCGUGCCAGCAGCCGCGGUAAUACGGAGGAUGCGAGCGUUAGCCGGAUUUAUGGGGUUUAAAGGGUGCGUAGGCGGAAUGCCAAGUCAGCGGUAAAAUCGCGGGGCUCAACCUCGCUCCGCCGUUGAAACUGGCGUUCUUGAGUGGGCGAGAAGUAUGCGGAAUGCGUGGUGUAGCGGUGAAAUGCAUAGAUAUCACGCAGAACUCCGAUUGCGAAGGCAGCAUACCGGCGCCCAACUGACGCUGAGGCACGAAAGCGUGGGUAUCGAACAGGAUUAGAUACCCUAGUAGUC